AGCGAACGCUGGCGGCAGGCCUAACACAUGCAAGUCGAGCGCCCAGCAAUGGGAGCGGCAGACGGGUGAGUAACGCGUGGGGAUGUGCCCAAAGGUACGGAAUAGCUCCGGGAAACUGGAAUUAAUACCGUAUGUGCCCUUCGGGGGAAAGAUUUAUCGCCUUUGGAUCAACCCGCGUCUGAUAGCUAGUUGGUGUGGUAAAGGCGCACCAAGGCGACGAUCAGUAGCUGGUCUGAGAGGAUGAUCAGCCACACUGGGACUGAGACACGGCCCAGACUCCUACGGGAGACAGCAGUGGGGAAUAUUGGACAAUGGGCGCAAGCCUGAUCCAGCCAUGCCGCGUGAGUGAUGAAGGCCUUAGGGUUGUAAAGCUCUUUCGCCGGUGAAGAUAAUGACGGUAACCGGAGAAGAAGCCCCGGCUAACUUCGUGCCAGCCGCCGCCGUAAUAC
rnacentral:rRNA from 1 species